CUUAGAAAGCGAUCUAAUGUCUGAAAAUCUCCUAUUUUUAGAUACCAAGUGACAAUAUUGUUCGAAUGUUAUCCAUUGUUCCGUGCACCUUGGGGCAAUUAUGCCCUCUCUUUCUUCCUCUUUUGAUUAGAAAGUUGGUGGAGAAGAUAUGGAAGGCAAUUAACUCUGAGUUAGUUCUGCGUGUAAUUACUUCUUUGCCUCGGGACUUUCAAACUCGCAAACCUUUUACAACCAAUCAGAUUACGUUUCGUCAUUAUGGUAUCAGAAAGAUUUUUCGCUUGUCUGUCUAUACGUCUGUCUUAAGUAUUUUUCUAUCGUUUUUUUUUUGCCCCUGUUUAAUCGAUCGAGUUUGAGAAUUUUUACCUCGUACUCCACUCCGUCGUCGUCUGCAUCGGGUUCGCUUCCCAGAGACACGUAAUGAUCGCUUGUAAGCAGUGCCAACUGAUGAGCAGUUUGAGACAUGGUACUGUAACGAAAACGAUAUUUUGUGUAUACGUAACUGAUAACGGCGUAACACGGAAGUGGUUAUCUACUUACUUAUUCUGUUCUAGUGGUAGCAGAGGAUCCCAAUUUCCGGACCAUUCAGUUUGUGUGGUGAUAUCGCAACAGUUUGGAGAUUGCAGGUGACCAGAUUCUGUCAUGCCAGG
rnacentral:lncRNA from 1 species